rnacentral:sRNA from 1 species
AGUAUUGUAUCCAACAUUGACUGA